rnacentral:rRNA from 1 species
CCUACGGGAGGCAGCAGUGGGGAAUAUUGCGCAAUGGGCGAAAGCCUGACGCAGCGACGCCGCGUGAGGGAUGAAGGUCUUCGGAUCGUAAACCUCUGUCAGCAGGGAAGAACGGUCACUGUGCUAAUCAGCAGUGAAUUGACGGUACCUGCAAAGGAAGCACCGGCUAACGCCGUGCCAGCAGCAGCGGUAAUACGGAGGGUGCGAGCGUUAAUCGGAAUUAAUGGGCGUAAAGCGCUCGUAGGCGGUAUGUCAAGUCAAGGGUGAAAUCCCCGCGCUCAACGUGGGAACUGCCUUUGAAACUGGCAACCUGGUGUGUGUGAGAGGAUAGUGUAAUUCCAGGUGUAGGAGUGAAAUCCGUAGAUAUCUGGAGGAACAUCAGUGGCGAAGGCGACUAUCUGGCACAUAACUGACGCUGAGGAGCGAAAGCGUGGGUAGCAAACAGGAUUAGAUACCCUUGUAGUC